rnacentral:rRNA from 1 species
AGUGAACGCUGGCGGUAGGCCUAACACAUGCAAGUCGAACGGCAGCACAUUAAGAGCUUGCUCUUACGGGUGGCGAUUUGCCUACGUGUGAGGAAUACAUCGAAAGCUACUUUUUCGUGGGGGAUAACGUAGGGAAACUUACGCUAAUACCUCAUACGACCUACUGGUGCAAGCAGGCGAUCUUCGUCCCUUGCGCGAUUCAAUGGGCCGUUGUCGGAUUAGCUAGUUGGCGGGGUAAAGGCCCACGGAGCAGACGACCCGUAGCUGGUCUGAGAGCAUGAACAGCUAGGCUGGAACUGAGACAGGGCCCAGACACCUACAGGAGGGAGCGGUGGGGAAUAUUGGGCGAUGGGGGCAAGCAUGAUACAGCAAUACGGCGUGGGUGAAGAAGGCCUUCGGGUUGUAGAGCCAUUUUGUUGGGAAAGAAAAGCAGCAGGAUAAUACCCCGCUGUUCUGACGAUACCAAAAGAAUAAGCACCGGCUAACUUCGUG